UACGAAGGGGGCUAGCGUUGCUCGGAAUUACUGGGCGUAAAGCGUGCGUAGGCGGUUUGUUAAGUCUGCUGUGAAAUCCCCGGGCUCAACCUGGGAAUGGCAGUGGAUACUGGCAAGCUAGAGUGUGUCAGAGGAUGGUGGAAUUCCCGGUGUAGCGGUGAAAUGCGUAGAGAUCGGGAGGAACAUCAGUGGCGAAGGCGGCCAUCUGGGACAACACUGACGCUGAGGCACGAAAGCGUGGGGAGCAAACAGG
rnacentral:rRNA from 1 species